UGGGGAAUUUUGGACAAUGGGCGAAAGCCUGAUCCAGCAAUGCCGCGUGUGUGAAGAAGGCCUUCGGGUUGUAAAGCACUUUUGUCCGGAAAGAAAUCCUUGGCUCUAAUACAGUCGGGGGAUGACGGUACCGGAAGAAUAAGCACCGGCUAACUACGUGCCAGCAGCCGCGGUAAUACGUAGGGUGCAAGCGUUAAUCGGAAUUACUGGGCGUAAGCGUGCGCAGGCGGUUUGCUAAGACCGAUGUGAAAUCCCCGGGCUCAACCUGGGAACUGCAUUGGUGACUGGCAGGCUAGAGUAUGGCAGAGGGGGGUAGAAUUCCACGUGUAGCAGUGAAAUGCGUAGAGAUGUGGAGGAAUACCGAUGGCGAAGGCAGCCCCCUGGGCCAAUACUGACGCUCAUGCACGAAAGGCGUGGGGAGCAAACAGGAUUAGAUACCCUGGUAGUCCACGCCCUAAACGAUGUCACUAGUUGUUGGGGAUUCAUUUCCUAGUAACGUAGCUAACGCGUGAAGUUGACCGCCUGGGGAGUACGGUCGCAAGAUUAAA
rnacentral:rRNA from 1 species